rnacentral:rRNA from 1 species
GUCCUUGCCGUAAACUAUGUAUACUUGGUGUAACUGGACUCAACCCUAGUUGUGCCGAAGCUAACGCGAUAAGUAUACCGCCUGAGGAGUACGCUCGCAAGGGUGAAACUCAAAAGAAUUGACGGGGACCCGCACAAGCAGUGGAGCAUGUGGUUUAAUUCGAUGCAACGCGAAGAACCUUACCCAGACUUGACAUGCAGUAGACAGUUCUAGAAAUGAAUCUUCCUUCGGGACUGCUGCACAGGUGCUGCAUGGCUGUCGU